AUGUUGCGAUGGUCCGUGAACAAUCACAAGCUUAUUUCGGGAGGUCCAAAGGACCCAAGCCAUGGCGGCAAAGGAGAGCAAGAGGAGGCAUCUCCUCCUACCAGCGAGAGACUCAAUAUUUACCACAAGGUCCUGCAAGUCCGCGGGGCACCAAUUGCACCCCAAGGCCUCGCGAACGCAACCCGAAAGGAAUCGAGCCACCAUGCACAAGAAGAAAAUAUAAGUAAAAUCCUCGCCAAUCCCACACAUCAGGCAACAACCAUCUUCCUGGUCAUUCCUCUUCAACACUUCAGAACGCGAUGGGAGGGGGCCAUGGGUGAGCUGCCAAAGGAAGAUCCGAAUCUCGAGUGGGACGCGCAUGGCUCAAACCAUGGCCACCCAACACGGGCCAGUCCCACCCACUAG
rnacentral:rRNA from 1 species